rnacentral:rRNA from 1 species
AUUGAACGCUGGCGGCAUGCCUAACACAUGCAAGUCGAACGGCAGCACGGCCUAGCUUGCUAGAUGGGUGGCGAGUGGCGAACGGGUGAGUAACGCGUAGGAAUAUGCCUUGAAGUGGGGGUCAACUUGGGGAAACUCAAGCUAAUACCGCAUAAUUUCUUAGGAAAAAAGCUGGGGACCUUAGGGCCUGGCGCUUCAAGAUUAGCCUGCGUACGAUUAGCUAGUUGGUAGGGUAAGAGCCUACCAAGGCGACGAUCGUUAGCUGGUCUGAGAGGAUGGCCAGCCACACUGGAACUGAGACACGGUCCAGACUCCUACGGGAGGCAGCAGUGGGGAAUAUUGGACAAUGGGGGCAACCCUGAUCCAGCAAUGCCGCGUGUGUGAAGAAGGCCUGAGGGUUGUAAAGCACUUUCAGUGGGGAGGAGGAUUGCCAGGUUAAGAGCUAGGUAAUUGGACGUUACCCACAGAAGAAGCACCGGCUAACUCCGUGCCAGCAGCCGCGGUAA